CGACGGCGUGGAGUCUGUGCCCUGUUCCUCCCACACACGAGUGUUCGUUCAUGUUCGGCCUUGUGUCUGAGCAUUUCCUCUCGGUGUGUCUGUAACGAGGAAGCCACGGGCAGGUCGCACACAAACGUGUGGCUGCCGAGUGUGCGAGUGUGGCAACGUGUGGCAACUAUUCUGGUUUGCCAGCGACGUUUCCACAUAAACACUGGUGGCAGCUGCUGCCAUGGCAACACCAUUGUGCUCCCUCCCUCCCUCGCUCGUCUCCCCUCCCUCUCCCCAACCACUCCUCGCUCUCAUGCUCCGCCGGCUCAGAGAGCGAGGACCAGAGAGGAGAGAGGUCAGCUCGAUUCAGAGGACAGAAAGAAGAAAGGAAUAACCCGGAGUGGACGGGGACAGGAUGAGCGAGGACAGCCACUCCCACUACAGGCUGGACCCCAGCGAUCGCCUCAACGGGCUGGGACAGAGGAGGAAGAGACCCAAGAAGUUUGUCUGCAGUGAACCUUAAAUACUCACUGAACCAGCUGUUUCCUGAUGUGGUGACGUGUGUCGGUGAUGAAGCCAACACUCUGUCCAGUGUUGGGCAAGUUACUUGAAAACAGUAAUCAGUAACUAAUUACUUCCCAAAAAAGUAAUCCCGUUACUUUACUGAUUACUUAUUUUCAAAAGUAAUUAGUUACUUAGUUACUUUUUAAAAACACGAUUUCCAACCUGAGUAGGUGAUAAAGCGAUAGAUCUUUCAGCCCAAUUCUACUUUUUCUGCAUAAUCCAUCAUACAAAAUGUAAUCAAAUGGAAAAGUCUCUUUUUAAAACUUGUUUUAUUAGAUUUAAUCUUUUAACUUUAUGCAUCAAGCAAACAUUUAAUUAUCUGCAACAUUCUCUGACUGGAAGAAAUUAGUUUAACAUUUAAACCUAUUUUCUGCACAUUCCAGCACAUAAAAUAAAAUAUUUUUUGUGUUUACACUCAGUCUUUCAAAUAGAUGCAAGUAAAACACAGCAGAAAAUAAAUAAAGUCAAAGACUCAGCGGUCCUGUUGCUCUAUUUUCACCUGUAAAGCAGGAGUGGGGUAGGCGGAGGUUUACCCUGGUGCAGGUGUGCCGCGGUCAGUGGAAGAAUCCGCGAGUUUCUCUGUGAGUUUCCCAUUACGUCGUAGCUACUCGGUGCUUGUUGGAAGUUUAGGGGUUUUUUCGCUGUAAAAAGAAGUUUUCUUCCCACGCACAGCGGACACUAAUGUUUUUGUCACUUUUUAUGGAAUCAAACUCAAAGUAAGGCCAGAGAUGCUCUUCAAACAGCUGACAGACAUGACCACAUUACAAGAACAUGGUGUGAGUCCGAUUUGAUAUUCCAGUCAACGCUGAGAGACCUUAACCAGGAAGUCAGAGACGGACAGGGAAUCAGUUGCUGUACGAUGACAUCAUCUUGAUGUUGACGAGGAGGGCGAGAAAAACUAGUUUUGUCCUGCAGAUGGCGAUCUUGCACCGUGUUCAGAGAGCC
ensembl:lncRNA